AGAGUUUGAUUAUGGCUCAGAAUGAACGCUGGCGGCAUGGAUUAGGCAUGCAAGUCGAACGGAGACCCUCGCUUCGGCGAGGCAAUCAGUGGCGAAAGGGUGAGUAACACGUGAGUAACCUGCCCCUGAAUCUGGGAUAGCCCCGGGAAACUGGGAUUAAUACCGGAUGCGGUUUUCUGCUGCAUGGCAGAAGGACCAAAGAUUUAUUGUUCAGGGAUGGGCUCGCGCCCCAUUAGCUUGUUGGUAGGGUAACGGCCUACCAAGGCUUUGACGGGUAGCUGGUCUGAGAGGAUGGUCAGCCACACUGGGACUGAGACACUGCCCAGACUCCUACGGGAGGCUGCAGUCGAGAAUCAUCCGCAAUGGGCGAAAGCCUGACGGUGCAAUGCCGCGUGAGGGAUGACGGCCUUCGGGUUGUAAACCUCUGUCAGGAGGGACGAAGAAUGUGACGGUACCUCCAGAGGAAGCCACGGCUAACUACGUGCCAGCAGCCGCGGUAAUACGUAGGUGGCGAGCGUUAUUCGGAUUUACUGGGCGUAAAGGGUCCGCAGGGGGUUUGCCAAGUCUGAUGUGAAAUCCCGAGGCUCAACUUCGGAACUGCAUUGGAUACUGGCGAACUAGAGUGCACGAGGGGUGAGCGGAAUUCCAGGUGUAGCGGUGGAAUGCGUAGAUAUCUGGAAGAACACCGAUGGCGAAGGCGGCUCACUGGCGUGCUACUGACCCUCAUGGACGAAAGCGUGGGUAGCGAACAGGAUUAGAUACCCUGGUAGUCCACGCCGUAAACGUUGUGCACUAGAUGUGGGCGG
rnacentral:rRNA from 1 species